UGUAACCAGUGGUACUGGGGUAAAUGUAGCGUAUCUUCUGAUUGGAUUCUUCGCUGCUAUCUUUAUGACCAUUCUGUUCUUCUACCUUAAAUCAAGGUUUUACAGACACAAUGUUCUUCAAGAGCAAAAUCGCCAGAACCAAACUAUUACUACAGAGAACUAUGGCGAUCAAGGGCAAAAUGCUGAAAAUGUCGAAAUACCCGAAGAAAUUGAAGACGUGGUACCUUGUUUACAUGCUUACUCCAAAGAAAAUAUUUAUUCUGACCAACUGUUUUCCCAAAUGGACCAUGCACACAAUAAAUCGGACCAAAAUG